ACUCCACUGAAGCUGGAUUCGCUAGUAAUCGCGCAUCAGCCAUGGCGCGGUGAAUACGUUCCCGGGCCUUGUACACACCGCCCGUCAAGCCAUGGGAGUCGGGAGUGCCUGAAGUUCGUGACCGUCACAGGAGCGACCUAAGGCAAGACCGAUGACUGGGGCUAAGUCGUAACAAGGUAAC
rnacentral:rRNA from 1 species